GUGGAAAAGUUUUCGGAUUUCCGAUUUAAGCAGACCUUAUCCAUGCCCGUAUAGCACUUGAAGUUCACAUUAAUUCAAUAAGGAGUUACCAGGUUCUUCUACAACGAAACAAAAACGAACCAUGUCAAAUGCUGACUGGAGAGUGGACAGACUGGAAAACAGCGCAUCGCAGUCUAUUUGCGUCUAAUGCAAUUUUCUGGACGAGAAGCGGAACACUAAGCCGAUGGCUGUGGAAAUCCUUCUCCACUUCACUCUGAAAAUCCACUUAAAAGCUCCAAAGCCGCUAUUAAAGUGGUUGGCAGCCAACUUGGCCAUAUUCUCUAGCGUUUCCACACUCCAGGAUCCGGUGAUAUGGUCGCGAAAGUUAAUAAAAUUAGCGCUGGCUGUUUUCAUAUUUUAUGACUUUGUGCCAUAAUUAAAAUGCAAAUGUGUUUGAUUACAAGCCGCGAAGUGAAGUUGCAGGGGAGGAUUCUGAAAGGGACGGCUUCAUUUUCAAUUACUUUGCCCAACGUGUGCCUGGACAAAAACAAAAUCCGAAAUUUACCCAAAACUUAAAAA